CAUCCUCGUGCAUCAGCAUUGCUAUUGGCCUUCGCAUCAGAUAAGCGUCCCUAAAAUGAGGAACGUGGAGAAGGGGAAAGUACUUGGAUAAUAAUACUCUUUGUGCAAACUUUUGUGAAGCGGAGAGGUAGGAUACAUGCUGACUGGGAUGGAGAUUGCUUCAGUAUUCCCUAUUGUGCAGCAUUUCGGCUUUAAAACGCAGACACUUUUCUGAAAAAUGUGGCCACUUGUUGAGUCUCUGAAGAACAGCUCAAACAACAUAAACAGAAAGCAACUGUUUACAGAUCAGCUAAGCAUCUGGAUGCUCCUAAUAUGAGGAACCUGGAGAAGGGGAAAGUACUAGUAUAAUAACACUGUGUGCAAACUUCAGUGCAUUGGAGAGGCAGA